rnacentral:lncRNA from 1 species
GCCAUGUCGUUUACUAUGUUGGUGUCUGUUAGGUUGAAUCCUGUAGAAUCCCCAUAUCCUGUGUUUCUACCUUAUAAAAUACAAAAGCAAAUGCAAUGUGAGCAUGUAUACAGGGCCUUACGGGCAAAAGAUCUACUGAGUGGCAUCAAUAAAGAAAAGCCCUGUAUAAAGCUGAGGCUGUUAUGAAAUGGGUAUAACUAAAAUUUGAUUACAAGCCCUCUACAAAGCGGUCAAUGUGAUGAAUUAUUGGAAAAGCUAAUCUUUAUCUUUAACAGAUUUACAACACCGUCCAGAACACAUAAUUAAAGGAUGUUCUUCUCUGUAAGGGUUUAAAUGGAAAUUAGAACGUGCCAGUCCAGUGAAGGAAUAACUAAUUAGCAAUCAAAUUAAAACCGGUGCAGUAAAAUGGGUUAAUCUAGCUGGGCAGAAAUGAAUGCCCAGACAAAAGAAAAUGAACAAGAACAGACUCAAAAUGUUAAAAGCACAAAGAUAAGUAGUGACCCACUUCUUCACAUGCAUUGCUGACAUGUGCCUUAAGACGUUAGUGUUUUUAUACUUGUAUGUUGUAUGAUUUUUAUGUGAAAAUGUUAUUUAAUAUUUUGUUUAGGUAA